AGUCAAAAGGGAAAGAGCCCAGACCUACAGCUAAGGUCCCAAAGUGUGUGUUAAGUGGAAAAGGAUGUGGGAUUUCAAAGACAACCAGGAUGUUGGCUUAGAAGCAGCCAUACAUUAAAAGAGUGCGUAAUAGCUCACUAGUCGAGAGGUCCUGCGCCGAAAAUGUCCGGGGCUGAAACACACUACCGAAGCUUAGGAAUUGACGAAUGUUAAUUGGUAGAGGAGCAUUCUUAACGGGGCGAAGCUGUACCGGAAGGAGCAGUGGACUGUUAAGAAGAGAGAAUGCCGGAAUGAGUAGCGAGAGGAAGGUGAGAAUCCUUCCGGCCGAAUAUCUAAGGUUUCCAGAGUAAAGCUGAUCUGCUCUGGGUAAGUCGGGGCCUAAGGCGAGGUCGAAAGACGUAGUCGAUGGAUAACAGGUAAAGAUUCCUGUACUGUAUCAUAACAGAACUGUGGGGACGCAGACAGAGAGCAUAAGCCGGGAAUGGAAAGACCGGUACAAGCGAGGUAGGAGUGCAUCAGGCAAAUCCGGUGCACAAUCUGAAGACGUGAUGUGGGGCGUAAAGCCGGAAGUAUGUGAGCUGGCUGCCAAGAAAAGCCGCUAUUGUUUAUGAUAUACCCGUACCGUAAACCGACACAGGUGGAUGAGGAGAGAAUCCUAAGGCCGACGGGAGAAGCAUUGUUAAGGAACUCGGCAAAAUGACUCCGUAACUUCGGGAGAAGGAGUGCCAUGUAAAAGUGGCCGCAGAGAAUUGGCCCAAGCAACUGUUUAGCAAAAACACAGGUCUAUGCAAAACCGAAAGGUGAGGUAUAUGGGCUGACGCCUGCCCGGUGCUGGAAGGUUAAGGGGAGAGGUUAGCCGUAAGGCGAAGCUUUGAACUUAAGCCCCAGUAAACGGCGGCCGUAACUAUAACGGUCCUAAGGUAGCGAAAUUCCUUGUCGGGUAAGUUCCGACCCGCACGAAAGGCGUAAUGAUUUGGGCACUGUCUCAACAAUGCACCCGGUGAAAUUGAAAUACCAGUGAAGAUGCUGGUUACCUGCGCCAGGACGGAAAGACCCCAUGGAGCUUUACUCCAGCUUGAUACUGGGAUUCGAUAUUGCAUGUACAGGAUAGGUGGGAGACUUUGAACUCAUGACGCCAGUCGUGAGGGAGUCACUGUUGGGAUACCACCCUUGUAGUAUUGGAUUUCUAACCAGCAGCCGUGAACCGGCUGGGGGACAAUGUCAGGUGGGGAGUUUGACUGGGGCGGUCGCCUCCGAAAGGGUAUCGGAGGCGCUCAAAGGUUCCCUCAGAAUGGUUGGAAACCAUUCGAAGAGUGCAAAGGCAGAAGGGAGCUUGACUGCGACACCGACGGGUGGAGCAGGUACGAAAGUAGGACUUAGUGAUCCGGUGGUAUAAAGUGGGAUUGCCAUCGCUCAACGGAUAAAAGCUACCCUGGGGAUAACAGGCUUAUCACUCCCAAGAGUUCACAUCGACGGAGUGGUUUGGCACCUCGAUGUCGGCUCAUCGCAUCCUGGGGCUGAAGUAGGUCCCAAGGGUUGGGCUGUUCGCCCAUUAAAGCGGUACGCGAGCUGGGUUCAGAACGUCGUGAGACAGUUCGGUCCCUAUCCG
rnacentral:rRNA from 1 species